GUAACACGGUGGGAGAAGCGGCACUGCCGCUGCCGAAGGCGCAACAGCCCGUAAUCGCUCAGGCCCGAUACCAUCUUCAACA
rnacentral:ncRNA from 2 species